rnacentral:rRNA from 1 species
AACGGGUGAGUAACACGUGAAGAACCUGCCCUUCAGUGGGGGACAACAGUUGGAAACGACUGCUAAUACCGCAUAAGACCACAGUACCGCAUGGUACAGUGAUCAAAGGAUUUAUUCGCUGAGGGAUGGCUUCGCGUCCGAUUAGGUAGUUGGUGAGGUAACGGCCCACCAAGCCUACGAUCGGUAGCCGGACUGAGAGGUUGAUCGGCCACAUUGGGACUGAGACACGGCCCAGACUCCUACGGGAGGCAGCAUG